AGAGAAAGAAGGAAAUGCAACAGGCUGGGUGUGAAAAGGGCAAGGUUUAUCAUGACUCGAGUGGCCUUCUGGAAAUGAAAAAGCAGCUCCAGAAGGUAAAGACUAACAGAUCAUUUGGGAUUUGUGAAAGUCCUCUGACAGAAGGAGGGACAUCAUAAAAAUCACUGCAGCCUGGGACAGCUGACCAAAUAUGUUACGGAACGUAUCUGGAAGAAAACAGGACAGCAGACAAGUUAUGAUUUCAGAGGAUGUUCAAAGAAAGGAAUAAGGAUUGCUAAAAUAUGAAACAAGAAUACAUCUCCACAGAGAGUAGGCUUCAAAGCCUCUUCAGGGCUCUGUAGCGUGGAGUUGGCUGCUGCUUCUAUUCAACUCAUGCUUCUCUGUAUCCCAAUUCCUCGCAGAGGCUGUGUACGCAGGUGUCUACUCUAGCAGGGGAUGGCUUCAAUAAAAACGUGACAACAUAUGGCAAAGGGCCUACUUUUCAGAAUAUUAAGGAUACAUUAUUGUUCCGCUUGGACUUCAGCUCUUAUCACUGGAAACCUGCUUUUUGGUCUGAAUUUCUGAAGAACCAGAGAAUCCUUAGAGAGAGAAAGAGACAGACCAAAAAAUGGAAAAAUAAAAUCUAUGCUCUACUGAAGAGAACGUUUUUUGUUUGGUUAAAUAAUCUACAAGAUUUUGUGCUAGAAAAAUAAAGUCAAGCACAUAAAACCUGGUUAAUGGCAAGACCAAGACUAAAGACUGAAACUCAGGCCAUUGGACCUCUGCUUACUAUUAACCCACUUUUGGAAAGACAGAAUCUUCUAGAUCCCUUUGGCACUGUGCCUCAGGCCUCUCCCAGUCAACAGCCAGAGAACAUUGUUCAUUUGGGAUAGAGAGAAAAAGGAUGUUGAAUCCAUGGAGUGGAGAACACUGCCAAACUGCCAUUUUUUCCUCUCUUCUUUCUUUGGGUGUAAGACUUCAUUGACAUGAAAAGUAUAAAUAAUGUCCUGAGAGAUUCUGGUUGAUUUUGUCUUAGGGCUUAAGAUUUGGCCAACUUGCUGCUAAGCGUGACCAAAACAGAUUUGAAUGGAAUCCUGUCGAAAGUGGCAAUGAUACAAAGCUUAUUAAAAAGAUUUUGGCAAGGAGCACCUGGGUGGCUCAGUUGGUUGAGCUUCAGCAGUUCAUGAGUUUGAGCCCUGCAUCCGGCUCACUGCUUUCAGUGCUGAAGCUGUCAGCUCCGAGCCGACUUGGGAUCCUCUGUCCCCCGCCUCUCUCUUCCCCUCCCCAACUUGGGCUCUCACUAAAAUAAUAAAAAUAAAAAUUCGUAAAAUCUUAAUGAACUU
ensembl:lncRNA